rnacentral:lncRNA from 1 species
AGCUCACCAGUGGAUUUGCUUAAGAAGACCACGUGCUGAGGAGCAUUCAAGCCUUAACUCCAGCAGCACAUUGAGAUGGGAAGGCAUGCAGAGGUGACAGCACGUGACAAUGUGCUUCCACAGAGAUGCAGAUGCUCUGGAGAGGAGAAAUUCCCAGCUGGGGCAGGAAGAUGUGUCUGAGCUUGCCAAGAACCAAGGAGAGAGGCAGAAACAAUGGAGAAAGGAUGGAGCAUCAGCUGAGGAGGCCAAAAUGGUUGUUUAUAAAGCAUGGCUAUUCUUUAAGACAAGGACUUGACUGGAUUCUGGGAACUGAAGUUGUCCCUAACCCCCAACACUUGUUGACCAUCUCCCGCAGCCAGAGGAAACAGCAUCAAGUUUGCAGCCUCUUAUACUGCUCCAGUAAAGAACUAAGCAAUCCUAAAGGGCAACAUCUUCCAAAAGAUUUAGUGCUUGAUUCCAAAUCUCAGUAUUCACACUCCUGCUUCAGCUGCUGCUUAGUCCUGGAAACCUCAGUUUCCAAGUGUAACCCAUCUGCCAGAACUCAACUGGCACCAACAACGGCUGCACUCAAGCUUAACGCUGUGAGCCAGAAAGAAGGAAAAGAUCUAUGA